CAUGGAGUUAAAUGAGAUAAGGACGAGACGAAGGUUAAAUGCUUAAAUAAACCUUCACUGACAAAUAUGUAGGUGCUUAAAAAAGGCUCUUCAUCUAAACAGGAAUUUUUCAAUAAAAAAAGAAAAUAAAGAUGGGUAACAAUCCACCUAAAGUUGAACACAGAGAAGUUCAUAUUACUAAAGACAUUUAUCAUUGUUGCAUUUGUGGAUGUGAAACCAGUAGUCAUUACAGACACGGACGGGCAUUUUUCUGCCAAUCGUGUUACAAUGAUGAAGCAGGAAAAAGGGCAGCCGCGGAAUCUAUAAGAAAAAAAGAAGUUCAAGAUCGAUACAAGGAGGCACAGGAGAGAAUUCGAAUACAAAGAGAAGUGAAGGACAAAAAGAUGAAAGAAGAGCAGGCGGGAAAGGCAGUUCAGUAACGCCUCAAAGAACAUUUUAGUGCAUUGCAACAAACAAAUAAAAAAUAAUCAGAAGUCAUGAUCGCUUGUUUUUGUGACAUUGCAGCAAAUUGCAAUGUUCUGGGUCCCUGCUGUGUUUAAUAAUAAAUGUUGUGUUUUGUAAUGAGCUGCUGUGUUUAAUAAUGAACUGCAAGGUUUAAUUAUGAAAGCUGUGUUUUAUAAUGAGCUGCUGUGUUUAAUAAUGAACUGCUGGGUUUAAUAAUGAACUGAUAUGUGGAUAAACGAUGGCCAUAACAAAGUGCUAUUAUUUUAAAAACAAAUAAAAUCUAUUAUUUCUGUUGCUUUUUUACUUCCAUUUUUUUCCAAUUCCAUUUUUGUAAAUGAAAGCAGUUGCAUUCUGUUCUAAACUUGUUGAUUUCUCUCAAAGAUUUUGAACUGCAAUUAAAGUAAUGUGAAAAAGGGGUUAUUGUUCCUGUAAAAGUAAAAGGUAUUCUGAAACUGCCAUAAUAGUAAUACUAGCCAUCUUGAAUGAAUGCCAAUAUGAAGACUGUAUCUAAAAGGUUUGGUGUUUGUAAUUUUCUUUCAUUAUUAUUUGAUUAUGAUUGUUGACUCUGCCUGAGACCUGUAACACAUAGGCAUAAUAGGGGCGAGGUAAGGUUGCAUGCCUUAACGUCCCAUUUCCUGACUGCAAUGCUGAAAUAAAAUGUAUACUACCACAGUGAUGGGGCACUUCAA